GAUAUGAAAGUGUUCAGAAGAAUAUCUCAAAUGCAUUAUCAUCCUCCAUAAAUUCUCGCACUGCAGUCUUCUUUUGUAUACUGUUCAGUAUAACAGUGUUAAUGGAAAUAGCUCCUGGACCUCUUUUGAAG
rnacentral:sRNA from 1 species